UUUCACGCUGAUGGACAAGGAUAAGGAGGAUUGGCUACAUUCAGUUAACCGAACUGAGCAAUCGGAACGUCAAGAUGAUAGCAAUACCAUUGAUAAUUGUGAACGACUCUUUAAAUGCUCCGUCUGUCCAAAAUCCUUUCCAAGAAAAUCCCACCUCAGUGAACACAGCCAUAGCCACACUGGGGAGCGACCGUACACGUGUCCACACUGCUCGAAGUCUUUCUCUCAAUCUGGAACUCUCCGGAAUCACAUCCGUACUCACACAGAUGAACGACCAUUCCAAUGCGCCCACUGUUCCAAGUCAUUUAAACUGAAAUCCCAUCUCGUCGGACACAGCCGUACUCACACAGGGGAGCGACCUUAUAAGUGUUCUUACUGCGCUUUGUCGUUUAAACAACUCGCCCAUCUUACCUCACACAUACGCUCCCACACAGGAGAAAGACCCUACAAAUGCUCUCACUGCCCAAAAACCUUUACCCAAGUACCCAAUCUUAAUAUGCACAUUCGUACGCACACGGGUGAAAGACCCUACAAAUGCACCGAAUGCCCAAAAUCGUUUGUACAAAUCUACCAUCUCAAGGAACACAUCCGCACGCACACUGGGGAGCGACCAUUCAAGUGUAGGCAGUGCCCUAAGUCUUUUCAAAAAAAUGCAAAUCUUCGAGAACAUACCCGUACCCACACGGGGGAGCAGCCUUAUCAAUGUCCACAAUGUCUAAAAACCUUUCUUGCUCGAGCGUAUCUCAAAAUUCACAUACGAACUCACACUCGCAAUGCAGAGCUACCGUAUAAGUGUUCUCACUGCUCUGAGACCUUUGCCCAAGUAGGGAUUCUCCAGGCUCAUAUGCGUUCGCAUACGGAUGAACACGAACGACCUUACCCAUGUCCCCACUGCACCGAAUGGUUCAGCUUGGAAGAUAACCUGAGGACCCACCUCCGUACGCACAUGGGUGAAGGACCCUACCAAUGCAGCGAAUGCUCAAAGUCUUUUAUACAAAAAUAUCUCUUUGAAAGACACAUCCGUACGCACUCAGAUGAUCGACCCUACCAGUGCUCUCAAUGCUCCAAGUCCUACAAACAAAAGGCCCAUCUCAGCAGUCACAUACGGGUUCACACUGGGGAGAAAAACGACAUAUCUAGUGUUUCCACUGGAGAAGAGACCCAAUCGAAGCCACUUGAAGUGGAGGGACCCCACAAAUGCUCUCACUGCUCGAAGUCAUUUAAGAUACAAUCCCAUCUCCAAAUACACAUCCGUGUUCACACGGGAGAUCGACCGUAUAAGUGCUCUGACUGCUGGAUGUCGUUUAAACAACACUCCCAUCUUCGAAUGCACAUACGCUCCCACACAGGUGAAAGACCCCACCAAUGCGCCCAAUGCUCAAAAGCCUUCUCAGAAGAAUCCAAUCUUAGAAGACACAUGCAUACGCACACAGAUAAACGACCGUACCAAUGCACCGAAUGCCCAAAGUCUUUUAUAAGAAAAGCCCGUCUUGAAAGACACAAAGAAAAAGACCAUCUCAACGAACACAUAACUGCUCAUACUGGAGAGAUAUUCGACCCAUCUGGUGUACCCACUGCGAUUCCAGACAUCAACAGCAUUUAAAGCACCCAAACGGUAUGCAACUGAUAUUACUUGAUACGAAGUAUCUCCAUAGAAACACACCUCCAGUACCGUCGAUUGCACGAUCAGUUCGGAGAGCAAGGGCCAGGAGUGCUUGGACAAUGUCUGCCAGCGUCUGCUCAUCCAGCAGCCAGAGUUCUUUGGACUGCGUUACCUCGUCCGUGGAAAGGAGGAUGAGUAUAAAUGGAUCGAUCUGGAGCGAUCGCUGAGCCGCCAGCUGGAGAAGUAUGCGGCGGGGCCAAAGAUCUACCUGCGAGUGCGUCACUAUGUGACGACGGGUGUGCGGCAUCUGAGCGACGAGGCCAACAGACUGCACAUCUGUGCAGUGCGUUAGUAUAUUAACUAUAUAGUCGACGGAAUCUGGCUAAUCACAGUCGCAGCGCCUGCGACUUUGUCAAUAGCCUGUUGAUUAUAGAGCUGGACAAAAUAUCGAUAGAACGGUCUGUUGGUUACAUCGAUGUUUUGUGAUUUUUCGCACCAGAACCACCGAUGUUUUCCAGUUAAAUUGGCAAAAAAGUCUGCUAAAAUAGUUAAUAUAUAACAGAAAAUUUUUCCAUGGAAGGCUUUACAUUAAAUUGAUUAAAAUUGAUAUGCAAAUCA